rnacentral:rRNA from 4 species
CAAAUGACUCUCGGCAACGGAUAUCUCGGCUCACGCAUCGAUGAAGAACGUAGCAAAAUGCGAUACUUGGUGUGAAUUGCAGAAUCCCGUGAACCAUCGAGUUUUUGAACGCAAGUUGCGCCCGAAGCCUUUUGGUCGAGGGCACGUCUGCCUGGGCGUCACAC